AUUGAACGCUGGCGGCAGGCCUAACACAUGCAAGUCGAGCGGCAGCGGGACCUUCGGGUUGCCGGCGAGCGGCGGACGGGUGAGUAAUGCCUAGGAAUCUGCCUGUUAGUGGGGGAUAACGCGGGGAAACUCGCGCUAAUACCGCAUACGUCCUACGGGAGAAAGCGGGGGCUCUUCGGACCUCGCGCUAACAGAUGAGCCUAGGUCGGAUUAGCUAGUUGGUGGGGUAAUGGCCCACCAAGGCGACGAUCCGUAACUGGUCUGAGAGGAUGAUCAGUCACACUGGAACUGAGACACGGUCCAGACUCCUACGGGAGGCAGCAGUGGGGAAUAUUGGACAAUGGGCGAAAGCCUGAUCCAGCCAUGACGCGUGUGUGAAGAAGGUCUUCGGAUUGUAAAGCACUUUAAGUCGGGAGGAAGGGCUGUAGGCUAAUACCUUGCAGUUUUGACGUUACCGACAGAAUAAGCACCGGCUAACUUCGUGCCAGCAGCCGCAGUAA
rnacentral:rRNA from 1 species